rnacentral:rRNA from 1 species
GCGCGAAAACUUUACAAUGCGGGAAACCGUGAUAAGGGGACACCGAGUGCCAGCAUCAUAUGCUGGCUGUCCAGGUGUGUAAACUACACCUGUUAGCAAGGGCCGGGCAAGACCGGUGCCAGCCGCCGCGGUAACACCGGCGGCCCGAGUGGUGAUCGUGAUUAUUGGGUCUAAAGGGUCCGUAGCCGGUUUGGUCAGUCCUCCGGGAAAUCUGACGGCUCAACCGUUAGGCUUUCGGGGGAUACUGCCAGGCUUGGAACCGGGAGAGGUAAGAGGUACUACAGGGGUAGGAGUGAAAUCUUGUAAUCCCUGUGGGACCACCUGUGGCGAAGGCGUCUUACCAGAACGGGUUCGACGGUGAGGGACGAAAGCUGGGGGCACGAACCGGAUUAGAUACCCGGGUAGUCCCAGCCGUAAACGAUGCUCGCUAGGUGUCAGGCAUGGCGCGACCGUGUCUGGUGCCGCAGGGAAGCCGUGAAGCGAGCCACCGUGGGAAGUACGGCCGCAAGGCUAGAAACUUAAAGGAGUUGGGCGGGGGAGCACCACGAAGGGGGU